rnacentral:lncRNA from 1 species
GUUAGCAGCUUAGCUUCCUAUCCAGCUAGACUGACAUUCUUACUGUUUCACUUCUCCCCUACAUUCCUUCCAUCACAUGGUAAUUUUCAGUGCAUGCAUGCACACAUCUGACCUGGAUAAGCCAGCUUUGAAAUGGCUGCAAAGAAUUUGUUGCAUUCUAGUCCUUCUGCUGUGGCUGCAGGCAAUCAGCAUUCAGGGGAGCCACGUCCACUUCUGCCAGCAAUACCAUGCCAUCAUAUACAAAGAAAUCUGAUGCAUUAAACUCAACUAACAGGCUACAUGGCAUUUAUUACCAGUAAAGUGUUGUGGAUUUGAAUGGAG